rnacentral:rRNA from 1 species
UACGGGGGGGGUAAGCGUUGUUCGGAAUUACUGGGCGUAAAGGGCUCGUAGGCGGCCAACUAAGUCGGACGUGAAAUCCCUCAGUUUAACUGGGGAACUGCGUCUGAUACUGGAUGGCUUGGAUUCGGGAGAGGAAUGCGGAAUUCCAGGUGUAGCGGUGAAAUGCGUAGAUAUCUGGAGGAACACCGGUGGCGAAGGCGGCAUUCUGGACCGAUAUUGACGCUGAGGAGCGAAAGCCAGGGGAGCAAACGGG